GACGAACGCUGGCGGCGUGCUUAACACAUGCAAGUCGAACGGACCUUCGGGUUAGUGGCGAACGGGUGAGUAACACGUGGGUGAUCUGCCCUGCACUUUGGGAUAAGCCUGGGAAACUGGGUCUAAUACCGGAUAGGACCACGCAUCUUAUGGUGUGUGGUGGAAAGCUUUUGCGGUGUGGGAUGGGCCCGCGGCCUAUCAGCUUGUUGGUGGGGUAAUGGCCUACCAAGGCGACGACGGGUAGCCGGCCUGAGAGGGUGACCGGCCACACUGGGACUGAGAUACGGCCCAGACUCCUACGGGAGGCAGCAGUGGGGAAUAUUGCACAAUGGGCGCAAGCCUGAUGCAGCGACGCCGCGUGAGGGAUGACGGCCUUCGGGCUGUAAACCUCUUUCGCCAGGGACGAAGCGCAAGUGACGGUACCUGGAGAAGAAGGACCGGCCAACUACGUGCCAGCCGCCGCGGUAACAC
rnacentral:rRNA from 1 species